rnacentral:rRNA from 1 species
CCAAUAGCGUAUAUUAAAGUUGUUGCAGUUAAAAAGCUCGUAGUUGAAUUUCGGGAUUAGUACGUUGGUCGUGCCUUAGGUACGUACUGGUGUUACUGGUUCCUACCUUCUGACGAACCAUCAUGUCAUUAAUUUGGUGUGGCGGGGAAUCAGGACUGUUACUUUGAAAAAAUUAGAGUGUUUAAAGCAGGCUCGCGCUUGAAUACAUUAGCAUGGAAUAAUGAAAUAGGACGUUUAUCCUAUUUUGUUGGUUUCUAGGAUUGACGUAAUGAUUAAUAGGGAUAGUUGGUGGCAUUAGUAUUCAACUGUCAGAGUUGAAAUUCUUGGUUUUAUUGAAGACUAACUACUGCGAAAGCAUUUGCCAAGGAUGUUUUCAUUAAUCAAGAACGAAAGUUAGGGGAUCGAAGACGAUCAGAUACCGUCGUAGUCUUAACCAUAAACUAUGCCGACUAGGGAUCGGAUGAUGUUAAUUUUUUAAUGACUCAUUCGACGCCUUACG